rnacentral:rRNA from 1 species
GGGUGCGAUCAUACUAGCACUAAUGCACCGGAUCCCAUUCAAACGCCGCAGUUAAACGUGCUUGGCCGAUAGUAGUACUAGGAUAGGUGACCUCCUGGGAAGUCCUCGUGGUGCACUCC